AUUGAACGCUGGCGGCAUGCUUUACACAUGCAAGUCGAACGGUAACAGGCCGCAAGGUGCUGACGAGUGGCGAACGGGUGAGUAAUGCAUCGGAACGUGCCCAGUCGUGGGGGAUAACUACUCGAAAGAGUAGCUAAUACCGCAUACGAUCUAUGGAUGAAAGCAGGGGACCGUAAGGCCUCGCGCGAUUGGAGCGGCCGAUGUCAGAUUAGGUAGUUGGUGGGGUAAAGGCUCACCAAGCCAACGAUCUGUAGCUGGUCUGAGAGGACAACCAGCCACACUGGGACUGAGACACGGCCCAGACUCCUACGGGAGGCAGCAGUGGGGAAUUUUGGACAAUGGGCGCAAGCCUGAUCCAGCAAUGCCGCGUGCAGGAAGAAGGCCUUCGGGUUGUAAACUGCUUUUGUACGGAACGAAACGGCUCUGGUUAAUACCCGGGGCUAAUGACGGUACCGUAAGAAUAAGCACCGGCUAACUACGUG
rnacentral:rRNA from 1 species